rnacentral:lncRNA from 1 species
CAAGGUUCCGUUUUCCUUGGGUCUGACAAAGUGGGGAGCAGGCUCGGUGUGCUUGUCCAUUCGGACCCUCUGCUGGCCCGAAACUGGUUGCUCACCAGCUCUGCUCACCUGCCACCGGCAGGGUGUCUGCCGUGGUUCCAUUUUCUGGCAAAGCCCUGGUUGUUUCUGUCCCCUGGAAAAUCCCCUAUUGGGAAGGGGUCCCUCCCGGCCACGCCCGGGGCCGGUGGCCACUUUAUUGUUCUAGCAGCUCUCACGCCCUGGGCGCUUCUGGGCGCUUCGUGGGGUGACGUUGGCCUGCAACGCCCGGUGCCCCGCUUGGUCGGGGGGCUGCUGUUCUGAGUGUUUCGGGGUCACAGCACCCUGCUGGGGGUCAGACCGGGAGGACACCCCUGACCUGCCUCCCGUGGCCUCUGUCCCUCAGUGCGACGUCCCCGAAGGAGGACUGGUCCCCAAGUCCCUGUACCUGACGGACGAGGAGCACGAGCACGCGGAGACCUACCAGGCGGCCAGCGUGCUCCGGGGCGCCCCCCACGAGGUGGCUGUGGGGAUUCCGGAAGAGGCAGUGCGUCAUCACCUGGGACUUCGACGUCCUGCAGAGCCACGUGCUGUUCAGCCUGUACCACGCCAAGCAGGCGCCCGCGGCCGGCAGGCCGCUGUCGGAGCAAGGCUAGAUCCUGAGCGUGGAUUACAGCCGCGUGGAGGCGCCCCUCGUCUGCCGCGAAGGGGAGAGCAUCCAGGUUCUCGCUCUUUGUUCCUUCCUCACGCGUGGCUGGGUGCCCGUGCGUGCCCAGGGUCGCAUCCGAGAAGGGGCAGCGCCCACGGUACCCACUUGUCCUCAUUUCCCCAGGGCUGCCGAUCCAAAGACCCCCACACCGGGUGACUUAAAGCAACAGGAAGGCAUUUGCUGGAAGCCUGAAAUGAGGG